UACGGAGGGAGCUAGCGUUGUUCGGAAUUACUGGGCGUAAAGCGCACGUAGGCGGCUUUGUAAGUUAGAGGUGAAAGCCCGGGGCUCAACUCCGGAACUGCCUUUAAGACUGCAUCGCUUGAAUCCAGGAGAGGUGAGUGGAAUUCCGAGUGUAGAGGUGAAAUUCGUAGAUAUUCGGAAGAACACCAGUGGCGAAGGCGGCUCACUGGACUGGUAUUGGCGCUGAGGUGCGAAAGCGUGGGGAGCAAACAGG
rnacentral:rRNA from 1 species